rnacentral:rRNA from 1 species
GGAGUUAGCCGGUGCUUCUUCUGUGAGUGAUGUCCUUCCUGCCGGCUAUUAACCCGCAGGCCUUCUUCCUCACUGAAAGUGCUUUACAACCCGAAGGCCUUCUUCACACACGCGGCAUGGCUGGAUCAGGGUUGCCCCCAUUGUCCAAUAUUCCCCACUGCUGCCUCCCGUAGGAGUCUGGGCCGUGUCUCAGUCCCAGUGUGGCUGAUCAUCCUCUCAGACCAGCUACGGAUCGUCGCCUUGGUUAGCCGUUACCUCACCAACCAGCUAAUCCGACAUAGGCUCAUCCGAUAGCGCGAGGCCCGAAGGUCCCCCGCUUUCCCCCGUAGGGCGUAUGCGGUAUUAGCCUGGGUUUCCCCAGGUUAUCCCCCACUACCGGGCAGAUUCCUAUGCAUUACUCACCCGUCCGCCGCUCGCCACCAGGGAGCAAGCUCCCCGUGCUGCCGCUCGACUUGCAUGUGUUAGGCCUGCCGCCAGCGUUCAAUCUGAGCCAGGAUCAAACUCUGA